rnacentral:misc_RNA from 1 species
AAGGAGUCUAACAAUUGUGCGAGUAGAAGGGUGGCAAACCCCGAUGCGUAAUGAAAGUGAGCGGUGGGAUCCGAAAGGUGCACCAUCGGCCGGCUUUGUCUGAGCAGGAGCACAUUUGUUAGGACCCGAAAGAUGGUGAACUAUGCCUGAAUAGGGUGAAGCCAGAGGAAACUCUGGUGGAGGCUCGUAGCGGUUCUGACGUGCAAAUCGAUCGUCAAAUUUGGGUAUAGGGGCGAAAGACUAAUCGAACCAUCUAGUAGCUGGUUCCCUC